UAUCACGUCAGUCUAACACACUGAAGGUCCCCAGUUCGAGCCUGGGCGAAGCCAUUUAUUUUUGCGUGGUUUCUCCUGUUUUACCAAUGGCGACAAUUUUUGCGCGCUUCAUCAGUGUCAAAUCCUGGAAUUUGCGGUAAAACCCUAAUUCUUUUUCAAUUGAUGUUUUUGUUUAGCUGUGGAGAAAAAAAAGGUGCGAAUUCUGAAAUACUUUCAUAUAUUCGAACCCUAAUUUAAUUCAAUUUCAAUCAAAUCUGCUCUCUUUGAUUACAAUUUAUCAUUAUUUUGUUAUUGGUUGUUGUGUGAAUGUGGUGAAAUCUCGUUGAUGCCAAUUUUUUUUGAAACCAUUUGAUUUAGCUGGAAUAUUAUAUUAUCAAUUUGGCAAUUAAUUUAGAGUUUUUAACCGAUUUUUUCCAGGUUCUAUUGAAAUUUGUUGAAUUUAAGUGUGGAAAUUUGCAUUUUAUUUGAUUAAUGUCAAUUGUAUUGCUUGCUUGUUGUGAAUUUCUAUUUAGUCGAGUUAGUAACUGGAAUUCUGGUAAUGAAAAUUUGUGAUGUUUGAGUUUGGAAUUAGUAAAGAGCCGACCUUAGCUCAGUUGGUAGAGCGGAGGACUGUAGUUGUUUGUUCAGUAGAUUAAUCCUUAGGUCGCUGGUUCGAUUCUGGCAGGUCGGACUUUCCUUUUUUCUGUUGUAGUUCUUCUUUCUCCCUAGUGUUGCACUGUUGCGACCGAGGAGGACUAAGAAGUUGGCAACAUCAAAUGUAUCCCAACAAAAUGUAAGCUGGUUAUAUUAUAGGUGAUACUGAUGAAUCUGUAACAUAUUUGAGCUCAUUCUAAGAAAUUAAUAAGAAAGUUCUUUGCUGUGAAAAUACCAAAGAUUGAUUAACUGUUUCAGAUAUUGCUGGGUUUUGUCCUCUGUAACCAGAUACAUGUCAUAUAGUAGAAACUUGUCAAACUUAACCAGUACGAGUUAUUUUUAGCCCAGCACUUGUGACAGAUUUGACAAAUGGGGUCUGUUGGAUCAAAUUUGAUUUGUGUACCAUUAGUUUUCGGUUGGUUGAGUUUGGAUGCUGUCAAAUUUCGGUGUAAUCAACAUCGCAAUGUUAUGUUUUGAAAUUUUGGUACAAUCCAGGAUUGUUCAGAUAGUAUGGACCAGGUAAUCGCCACAGAUCAGCUUUUUCCAUCUCUAGUUUUUGGUCGAACAUCUAUCUGUGAAACUGGUCUCUGAUGAUUAAACCUAUAGAAGUGAUCUGAGUACGAGUUGCUUUCUUAGCAUGAUUAGGCCUUUGUUCUAGAUUUUUUAGAUUGACUGGGAAAGAAUAUGUGAACAGCCGAGGAGCUUUUGGUAAUACUAACUCGUUUUUUUAAUAGAUGUACCAUAUUGACUUUUAAUACUAUUCAGUAGACCUGUUCAACGGGCUGGAGGCCCGUUAAAAGCCCUAGCCCGGUCUUUUUAUCAAAGGGUUCAGCCCUAGCCCGGCCCAGCCCAGCCCGUUUAAUUCUGACCCGGCCCUAAACCGGCCCGUUGAACAGGUCUACUAUUCACAUAUCCUCUAUGAUAUGACUAUCUUUGCUAGUUUAUACGUGAUAGGUUAUCUAUACAAUCAGGCCUUGAGAUAUUGACACCAGAUGCUAGUCAUAGGUGCACCUUCUCACUUUCUUUUAAUUACUUGCUCUGCACAUGACCAGCAUAAGCUUUUUGAUGUUAAAGGGUGUACCUUAUUCCCUGGUGAAAUUUCAAGAGGCAAUAUUAAAGAGAAAGACCUUAUGUCACAACUAGGCUUAGAAAAAACCAUGGAAAAUUUGUUCAAAAAGUUGGCAACUAGAGUGUCCUCCUCUAUGAAAGCAUAGUGUGUGUGGCAUUUGUUUUUUCUUAUAUUUUUAAAUUGUCGGGGAAAGAAAACAAGAGUAGUAAGAGUCUGAAGAGACCUACAAAGUUGUCAGUUAGCCCUUAAAAUAUUCCCAGGAGCAGGUUCUUGUUUAUGUUGAAAAUUAUAGAGGACUUGAAAUAACAUUGCUUUAUACUGAGGUUUUUUCUACUUAUUGGGAGAUAAGGGAGGUGAAAACUUCAGCUGUAGCAUUUUAGGAAAAAAAAAACACUAUAAACAAACCAUGAUGUCUCUGUUGUUGCUUCUGCUUCAACUAGAAUCAAUCCUAUGGCUAGCAUCUGGUGUCAAUAUCUCAAAACCUGAUUGUAUGUACGAUGCUAUUGCCUAUAUUUUUGGUUUCAGGUCAUUCAGGGUAAAAAUAAUUCAAUAUUUUCUUUUGGUAUUAGUUGUGAAAGAAUGUCACAAGUGCAGACAUCAACCAGAUCGUUGUGUAAUUGGCUAUUCAACUGACACAGACUCAACCUACUUUUACUGUGAAAAGAAUUUGUUGUUGAAGCGGGCUUCAAUUCUUGGGUUCAGCAUAGGUGCUGGAUUAGUGCUUCUGGUCCUAGGUUCCUAUUGACUCGAUAAGUUCUUGUUAGAGCUUAUAACAGGAAGAAACCAAUUUGCCCCUACAAAGAGGGAGGAUGGAUUAGUUUGGCAGUUGAAUUUGUUUCCCAUAUGGAAAGUUCUCGUCUCUCUGAUAUUCUGGAUGCUCGAGUUGUAAAUGAGGGUAAGGAAGAAGAUGAGGAUCCCUCUAAUUCAAUCUAAGUCCAACAACUCAUGGUCAGUAUCUGACAACUAUAAGGUACUUCCUGAAGCCUCUUGCUGCAGUGAUUGUGUAAAAUUAUAGCUUAUUGCAUUUGUGUGUUUCUAAACUGGAAGUUUGUCAUACUUGGGAAAUUUUUUACCUUCUGGAUCUCUUGUAUGGCACUUGUGCAGCGUCAAAAUAGCUUAAUGUAGUCCAUAAAUAUUGAUAUUUACUAUACAGAUUGUUUUUAGUUUGUGAA